rnacentral:rRNA from 1 species
AAAUUGAAGAGUUUGAUCAUGGCUCAGAUUGAACGCUGGCGGCAGGCCUAACACAUGCAAGUCGAACGGUAACAGAAAGCAGCUUGCUGCUUUGCUGACGAGUGGCGGACGGGUGAGUAAUGUCUGGGAAACUGCCUGAUGGAGGGGGAUAACUACUGGAAACGGUAGCUAAUACCGCAUAACGUCG